rnacentral:rRNA from 1 species
UACGGGGGGGGCAAGCGUUGUUCGGAAUUACUGGGCGUAAAGGGCUCGUAGGCGGCCAACUAAGUCGGACGUGAAAUCCCCAGGCUCAACCUGGGAACUGCGUCUGAUACUGGAUGGCUUGAAUCCGGGAGAGGGAUGCAGAAUUCCAGGUGUAGCGGUGAAAUGCGUAGAUAUACGGAGGAACACCAGCGGCGAAGGCGGGUAGCUGGGCCAACACUGACGCUGAUGUGCGAAAGCUAGGGGAGCAGACGGG